rnacentral:rRNA from 1 species
UACGUAGGGUGCAAGCGUUAUCCGGAAUUAUUGGGCGUAAAGAGCUCGUAGGCGGUUUGUCGCGUCUGCUGUGAAAACUGGAGGCUCAACCUCCAGCCUGCAGUGGGUACGGGCAAACUAGAGUGCGGUAGGGGAGAUUGGAAUUCCUGGUGUAGCGGUGAAAUGCGUAGAUAUCAGGAGGAACACCGGUGGUGUAGACGGCUCUCUGGACCGUAACUGACGCUGAGGCACGAAAGCGUGGGUAGCAAACAGG